rnacentral:rRNA from 1 species
AAAGACCUUAUGCUUUUGGAGCGGCCGAUGUCUGAUUAGCUAGUUGGNAAGGNAAAGGNUUACCAAGGNGACGAUCAGUAGUUGGUCUGAGAGGACGACCAGCCACACUGGGACUGAGACACGGNCCAGACUCCUACGGGAGGCAGCAGUGGGGAAUUUUGGACAAUGGGCGAAAGCCUGAUCCAGCAAUGCCGCGUGAGUGAAGAAGGCCUUCGGGUUGUAAAGCUCUUUCAGCCGAGAAGAAAAGAUUGUGACUAAUAAUCAUAAUUUAUGACGGUAUCGACAGAAGAAGCACCGGCCAACUACGUGCCAGCAGCCGCGGUAAUACGUAGGGUGCGAGCGUUAAUCGGAAUUACUGGGCGUAAAGGGUGCGCAGGCGGUUCUGCAAGUCAGAUGUGAAAUCCCCGGGCUUAACCUGGGAACU